CACCUCUUCUGGCUUCCCCAGCUGCAGCUUUCUGACGAGCGCGGCGCAUGCGCGGCUCAUGUGGUUCCCGCGGGCGGGGCUGGCCCGUUCUGCCGCCCCCGGGCUGGCCAAUCGCAGGGCUCCGCGCCUGCUUCUCCAGUAAUACAGUACCCCCCAGCGUCAUCUUGGAGGAUUAAAUCAGUUCUGAUUCAGAAAGAAGAGUGCUACUGGCUUGAACUGUCAUCUCUGUUUGCCAUCCACCUUAUGCAUUCCCUGAGAUUUCCCACACUAUUGUUUAAAUGCAACUCUGCUGUGCUUCUGAAAUUUGACAGGAGUUCAAGACAGCCACAAAUAAACAGUCAAGACCCUGUGACCAGGAGAGUGCAAGGAAAGGACUCGGCGUAGGACAAAGAAGCUCUGUGCAUGCAUAUCUGUGUAGUCUAUAUACAUUUUGGCACUAAAGCUCCCCUCCCCACUCCUGCCUACUCUUGCCCCAAGAGAAUAGAGGCUAGAUACUAUGAGAAACCAAGAAAAAAGACCUAGGGCACUUAUAAACGUGCUCUGGGAGGGGGCUUUAAUUAGCGCGACUCUGAGAGCCAUGUUAAUUGAAGUACCCGGAGCGUCACAUGUAUCAGCGUCCCCGCGCUGAAAUGUGGCAGUGUGGGUGCUUUAACUAAAACUCGUUAAAUGAACUAAAGCACCACCAUGUAAUUACAGUGCAUUGGAGCAGCCUCCCUGCAUGUGUAUAGGAGCCCCUAGUGAUUAUCUUAACACUGAACUAUUUGAUGAAGCAAAGUACUGCUACAUUUUAUUGCUAUCAAAGUACAAUUUAACUCGAAUCAGUUUUUAGGGACUGUGCAUUUAUUACAAUAAAAUAAUUCAGCAAGACAUCUAUCUCAUCAGAACUGCUACCAGUUUAGCCCUUUGUCAUGUGUUUUAUUUACUGGGUUGAGAGGUAUGAUUUGAGGUACAGAGCAAUUGGAAAAGAUAUCUACAUCAGAUAAACUGUUACUGGCAGAAAGAAUGACCCAUGUGGCAGAUGAGAGUCAUAUUGCUUCAUACACUUAGGGAAACCAUUCAGAGACUGGUGGUGAGGGCAGUACUACCAGCUAAACAGAACAAAUUAGCUGGAUAUAACAUUUGAUUCUCCAUAAAAGUACACAUUGGCUUGAACGUAAUAUCUAACAAGUAGAAUAACACUGAGUUUUUUGUCACUUACCUUUCAAUAUUA